rnacentral:rRNA from 1 species
AGUUCUAUAACUCCCAAACCCAUGUGAACAUACCUAACGUUGCCUCGGCAGGUCUCGCCUGCCGGUGGCCCACCAAACUCUGUUUGAUAUUGAAUUCUGAACAUGUAACUGAAUAAGUUAAAACUUUCAACAACGGAUCUCUUGGUUCUGGCAUCGAUGAAGAACGCAGCGAAAUGCGAUAAGUAAUGUGAAUUGCAGGAUUCAGUGAAUCAUCGAAUUUUUGAACGCAUAUUGCGCCCAUUAGUAUUCUAGGGGGAAGGACCGUUCGAGCGUCAUUUCCACCCUUAAGCCUUGGUUGCUUAGUGUUGGGAGCCUACGGUAACGUACCUCCUCAAAGUUAGUGGCGGAGUUGGUUCACACUCUAGACGUAGUAAUUUCUUAUCUCGCCUAUCAGUUGGACUAAUCCCCUGCCGUAAAACCCCCUACUUUUAAAGGUUGACCUCGAAUCGNUUCAGAUAAACUCCCUAAAUUGAAGCAUCUUAGUCAGCGAAGGAAAAGAAACCCACAGGGAUUGCCCUAUAACGGNGAGUGAAG